UACAGCGGGGGCUAGCGUUGUUCGGAUUUACUGGGCGUAAAGGGCGCGUAGGCGGUUUAGAAAGUCAGAUGUGAAAGCCCGGGGCUUAACUCCGGAAGUGCAUUUGAAACUUCUAGGCUAGAGUACAGUAGAGGUUGGUGGAAUUCCCAGUGUAGAGGUGAAAUUCGUAGAUAUUGGGAGGAACACCAGUGGCGAAGGCGGCCAACUGGGCUGUAACUGACGCUGAGGCGCGAAAGCGUGGGGCUCAAACAGG
rnacentral:rRNA from 1 species